CCUAAAGCCCUUGUCUCUCUGGGUCAAAGCUCAUGUUCUUUUCACUAUAUCUUUGCUACCCUGAUAUCAGUACAUACUUAAGAGAUCUGCAAAAGUUUCCCUCACUCUAAUAUAUUUCCUACAUGACCCCAAAAGUGACUGUCUCAUGUCUUAUCUCUCUAGGUGCAGUCAGAGUCUGUGACCCUUAAAUCUCUAAGGAACAAAGCAUGUUUGCAAAUUCCUCAACAGUUUCCUCAGGACAGGACCUCGUAGGAUCCUCAGGGAAGAGGAGGAGGAUGAGAAAGGAAGGAGGUAAAAUGAAAGAGGCAGCAUGGUCACAAGCUCAACGUGAGAAAAAGAAAAAAGAGCAUUGUGAAACCAGUGCCAAGAUGAUCUGGUAUUCUGCCUACAUGGAUGAGUUGCCUCCUUUCAAGCAAUGCCAAGGUCACGUGUAUUGGAUUAAAAAUACCUGAGUAAGAAAAUUUCAGGUAAGGUAACUUUUUUUAGAGGGUUCUCAUCAUCUGGUCAUCCAAUCACAUCAUCAAAGUGGCUCUGUGAUCUACAGACAGAUCAGGGUGAAUGGUCAGUCAAACCCCAAAUGGUCUGAAUCCCUGGGGCACAGUUAAAUUCCUUUAAGCCUUGGAAAGCUUUCUAAAUUUAUUUAAACAUGUUGACAUGAGUUUAAGAAGGUUUUUUAAAAGUUUAAUUGCCUUUUAUUUCCAUUUAUUUUCUCCUUCUCCCUCUCCACUUUUCCCCUCAUCAACUUACCCCUCAUCAAACUUAGAGAAGCUUCAUAGUAAGGCCAAAAUUAAAGCAACUUUCUAUGUGUUAUCCUUAUGAGUGGACUUGAGGUCUAUCCUACUAAGAGAAAAAAAAUAACUACAUGUGAUUUACAGCAUGUUUUUAGGAACAGUCCAUUGAAAAAAACCUAGUUAAACUUGAAAAAUGGAUUUUGGUUGAUCGGAAUCAGUAAAGCAUAUGUAAUUAGAUCACUGUGGUACUACUAUUCAGCAACAUAGAUCAUUCGAAAAACCAAGAAAAUAUUUAGGUGCCUAAAUGUGUAUAAAUGCAUACCAACACGGACACACAAGCACACUCACAGGCACACACAAGCACCUGCGUGCAUACAUGCAUAGGCAGAGGAAGUUGCUGAUAGGUUCAGUUCUUUUCUGGCCCAGAAAAAGGUGGUACUUUUAAAAGUUUGAAGGGAAAACAUCACUGAGUAUGUUUGUGUACAGAAUUAUGCACUGUUUGUCCUUGGAGGUCAAUGUAGCAUUGAACAUUUGGUGAUAUUCUG
rnacentral:lncRNA from 1 species